UCUCCUUAGCCCUCGGUCCACGCACUGCUCCUAGGGCAAGAGCCUUCACCUCUUCUACAGCCAACACCAUGCGCGAGAUCGUGCACAUCCAGGCGGGCCAAUGCGGCAACCAGAUCGGCGCUAAGUUUUGGGAGGUGAUAAGCGAUGAGCAUGGCAUCGACCCCACUGGCAGUUACCAUGGCGACAGUGACUUGCAGCUGGAGAGAAUCAAUGUGUACUACAAUGAAGCUGCUGGUAAGGGUUUGGAUGUCAGUCUUGCUUUCCACACUGUGGCAGAGGAAGCAGCAUGCAGACAAGGAAAUGCUUUUUUGCACACUCAUUUAAAAAAAAAACCACGUU
rnacentral:lncRNA from 1 species